UACGAAGGGGGCUAGCGUUGCUCGGAAUUACUGGGCGUAAAGCGCACGUAGGCGGAUUCUUAAGUCAGGGGUGAAAUCCCGGAGCUCAACCCCGGAACUGCCUUUGAUACUGAGAAUCUCGAGUCCGGGAGAGGUGAGUGGAACUCCGAGUGUAGAGGUGAAAUUCGUAGAUAUUCGGAAGAACACCAGUGGCGAAGGCGGCUCACUGGCCCGGUACUGACGCUGAGGUGCGAAAGCGUGGGGAGCAAACAGG
rnacentral:rRNA from 1 species